GCCUCGGGGAGCUGUAAGCAAGCUUUGAUCCGGGGAUGUCCGAAUGGGGAAACCCGGCUGUCUUCAUCGACAGUCACUUUCUGCUGAAUACAUAGGCAGAAUAGAGGCAGACCAGGGGAACUGAAACAUCUAAGUACCCUGAGGAAGAGAAAACAAUAGUGAUUCCGUCAGUAGCGGCGAGCGAACGCGGAUUAGCCCAAACCAAGGAGCUUGCUCCUUGGGGUUGUGGGACGUCUCACAUGGAGUUACAAAGGAACCGGUUAGAUGAAGAGGUCUGGAAAGGCCCGCCAGAGAAGGUAAAAGCCCUGUAGUUCAAAACUUGUUCUCUCCGAGACGGAUCCCGAGUAGUGCGGGGCACGUGAAACCCCGUAUGAAUCCGGCAGGACCAUCUGCCAAGGCUAAAUACUCCCUGGCGACCGAUAGUGAAGCAGUACCGUGAGGGAAAGGUGAAAAGCACCCCGGAAGGGGAGUGAAAUAGAUCCUGAAACCGUGUGCUUACAAGAAGUCAGAGC
rnacentral:rRNA from 1 species